rnacentral:rRNA from 1 species
GUCGAACGCUUCUUUUCCCACCGGAGCUUGCUCCACCGGGAAAAGAGGAGUGGCGAACGGGUGAGUAACACGUGGGUAACCUGCCCAUCAGAAGGGGAUAACACUUGGAAACAGGUGCUAAUACCGUAUAACAAUCGAAACCGCAUGGUUUCGUUUUGAAAGGCGCUUUACGGUGCCGCUGAUGGAUGGACCUGCGGUGCAUUAGCUAGUUGGUGAGGUAACGGCUCACCAAGGCCACGAUGCAUAGCCGACCUGAGAGGGUGAUCGGCCACAUUGGGACUGAGACACGGCCCAAACUCCUACGGGAGGCAGCAGUAGGGAAUCUUCGGCAAUGGACGAAAGUCUGACCGAGCAACGCCGCGUGAGUGAAGAAGGUUUUCGGAUCGUAAAACUCUGUUGUUAGAGAAGAACAAGGGUGAGAGUAACUGUUCACCCCUUGACGGUAUCUAACCAGAAAGCCACGGCUAACUACGUGCCAGCAGCCGCGGUAAUACGUAGGUGGCAAGCGUUGUCCGGAUUUAUUGGGCGUAAAGCGAGCGCAGGCGGUUUCUUAAGUCUGAUGUGAAAGCCCCCGGCUCAACCGGGGAGGGUCAUUGGAAACUGGGAGACUUGAGUGCAGAAGAGGAGAGCGGAAUUCCAUGUGUAGCGGUGAAAUGCGUAGAUAUAUGGAGGAACACCAGUGGCGAAGGCGGCUCUCUGGUCUGUAACUGACGCUGAGGCUCGAAAGCGUGGGGAGCAAACAGGAUUAGAUACCCUGGUAGUCCACGCCGUAAACGAUGAGUGCUAAGUGUUGGAGGGUUUCCGCCCUUCAGUGCUGCAGCUAACGCAUUAAGCACUCCGCCUGGGGAGUACGACCGCAAGGUUGAAACUCAAAGGAAUUGACGGGGGGCCCGCACAAGCGGUGGAGCAUGUGGUUUAAUUCG